rnacentral:rRNA from 1 species
GACGAACGCUGGCGGCGUGCUUAACACAUGCAAGUCGAACGGUAAAGGAGGGAGCUGGCUCCCCCCGGAGCAAAGGCGAACGGGUGAGUAACAUGUGAGCAAUCUGCCCCGAACUCUGGGAUAAGCGAUGGAAACGACGUCUAAUACCGGAUACGACGCGGGAGGGCAUCCUCGGCGCGUGGAAAGAACUUCGGUUGGGGACGAGCUCGCGCCUCAUCAGCUUGUUGGUGGGGUAUCGGCUCACCAAGGCGGCGACGGGUAGCCGGCCUGCGAGGGUAACGGGCCACACUGGGACUGGGAAACGCCCAAGCCUCCACCGGGGGCAACCGGUGGGGAUUUUUGCACAUUGGGCGCAAGCCUGAUGCAGCACCGCCGCGUGGGGGAGAACGGCCUUCGGGUUGUAAACCUCUUUUAGCGUGGAAGAAGCGAAAGUGACGGUACCUGCAGAAGAAGCACCGGCUAACUACGUG